UACGUAGGGCGCAAGCGUUGUCCGGAUUUAUUGGGCGUAAAGAGCGUGUAGGCGGCCAGACAGGUCAGCUGUGAAAACUCGAGGCUCAACCUCGAGACGUCGGUUGAAACCGUCUGGCUAGAGUCCGGAAGAGGAGAGUGGAAUUCCCGGUGUAGCGGUGAAAUGCGCAGAUAUCGGGAAGAACACCGAUGGCGAAGGCAGCUCUCUGGGACGGUACUGACGCUGAGACGCGAAAGCGUGGGGAGCGAACAGG
rnacentral:rRNA from 1 species